rnacentral:miRNA from 1 species
UAAGUGCUCUCUGUUAGGAUGA